rnacentral:rRNA from 1 species
GAUCCUGGCUCAGGAUGAACGCUAGCUACAGGCUUAACACAUGCAAGUCGAGGGGCAGCAUGUAUCUGGCUUGCCAGAUACGAUGGCGACCGGCGCACGGGUGAGUAACGCGUAUCCGACCUGCCGCGACACUCCGGGAUAGCCUUGCGAAACGCAAGUUUAAUACCGGAUGCCGUAAGGACGCCGCAUGGUGUUUUUACGAAAGGGGUUUACCGGUGUGCGAUGGGGAUGCGUCCCAUUAG